UACGAAGGGUGCAAGCGUUAUUCGGAAUCAUUGGGCGUAAAGGGUGUGUAGACGGUAUGCUAAGUCUGUUGUUAAAUUCUCCAGCCUAACUGGAGAUCUGCGGUGGAAACUAGCGUGCUAGAGGGUGGAAGAGAGAAGUGGAAUUCUCGGAGUAGCGGUAAAAUGCGUAGAUCUCGAGAGGAACACCAAUGGCGAAGGCAGCUUCUUGGUCCAUUCCUGACGUUGAAACACGAAAGCGUGGGGAGCAAACAGG
rnacentral:rRNA from 1 species